GGAAUAAUCGUCAUUGGUAAGAUAACACGAUUGCUAAUCGUCUGGGAUAGCUCCCUUAAGCGUUCGACUCGCUUUUAUUCCG
rnacentral:tRNA from 2 species